rnacentral:rRNA from 1 species
GGGGGAAUAUUGGGCAAUGGAGGAAACUCUGACCCAGCAACGCCGCGUGGAGGAAGAAGGUUUUCGGAUCGUAAACUCCUGUCCUUGGAGACGAGUAGAAGACGGUAUCCAAGGAGGAAGCCCCGGCUAACUACGUGCCAGCAGCCGCGGUAAUACGUAGGGGGCAAGCGUUGUCCGGAAUAAUUGGGCGUAAAGGGCGCGUAGGCGGCUCGGUAAGUCUGGAGUGAAAGUCCUGCUUUUAAGGUGGGAA